UCAAACUUGGUCAUUUAGAGGAAGUAAAAGUCGUAACAAGGUUACCGUAGGUGAACCUGCGGUAGGAUCAUUACCGAGUUAGGGUGGCUCCGCCGCCCGACCUCCCAACCCUUUGUUUACACCGACCCACGUUGCUUCGGCGAGCCGGGGCCCCUCCCCGGGGUCGCGCCGGGGGCCUUUGACCGCCCCUGGAGAGUGCUCGUCGACAGCCAUACCCAAACUCUUUUUACAAAAGACCUGUCUAAACCAAUGUACAUCUCAAUGAGAAAACAAAAACUUUCAACAACGGAUCUCUUGGUUCUGGCAUCGAUGAAGAACGCAGC
rnacentral:misc_RNA from 1 species